GCCCGCCUAGCUCAAUCGGAUAGAGCGUCAGACUCUUAACUUAGGCGGGUAUCUGAAGGCUGCGAGUUCGACCCUCGCGGUGGGCU